UCUUCCAACCUUAACGAUUCUAUGAUUCUAUGAGAGGCAGGGAAAAAGAGUUGAUGGUGUGGCUGUGUACAUUAAGCAGUCUUUCAACUUUCUAUCAAGGAUAAUGAUGACAAGAUUGAGUAUCUGUGGGUAAGAAUCGGGGGAAGGCCAACAACACAGACAUCCUGGUAGGAGUCUAUUAUAGACAACCCAACCGGGAUGAAGGGAUGGAUGAACUAUUCUGUAAGCCUCUGUCUUAUGUUUCACAAUGGCUAGCCCUUGCUCUUGUGGGAGACUAACUUGUGGGAUGCCUGCUGGAAACUCAACACAGUGGAGUCUAGAACACUUCUUAAGUGUGUGGAAGACAACUUUCUGACACAACUAGUAACUGAGCUUAGCAAGGUGACCCACUUGGUGGAUGUAGGGAAGGCUGUGGAUGUUGUCUACCUGGACUUCAGCAAAGCCUCUGACACCAUCUCCCACAACAUUCUCCUGGAGAAGCUGGCAGCCCGUGGCUUGGACAGGAAGAAGACUUACUCGCUUUUUCCUGUGGAUGAAGGUAGCAACUGGAUUUGGGAGGCAACAAAGAGGCUAAUGGAAAGUCACUUCUGGAUCAGCAAGAUCUAGGGCUUUUGAAAACAACACAAAACUAGCUAUAUUUAAAGACAUUAGUAUUUACAUUAACACUACUUUUGUCUACCUGACUUCACCUGUGCCAUAUCUUCUGAAAACAGAAAACACUAGAGUCUUGAACUGGACUUCCAAAAUGUAAGGUUCCUCCACAAUCAUUAGAUUCUUUGAAAAUGUCAACCCUUUAUUAUAUUAAUUUUGGUUCCUACUGUCCCUUUUGGUCUUUUAAAACUAUUUUGACUUACAAAAUAACAAGACUUCUGAAAGAGAAUGCUACAUUCCAGUUUUCCCAUGAACUUAGUCUUUGAGGACCCCAGCACCAUGCCUUGAGGCUACUUUAUAAGCGCUUUGUCAC